UUUGGGAAAUGAGGCCAAGAUUCAAAACAGUGGAUCAGAGUCGCCAGCUAUGUUUGCUUUAUAGUAAAUUUUUUGGCACGUCAGUCUCAUCCCAAA